CCACGAGAGCUUUGUGUCAGAAUGGCGAACGAAAACUUCAGAAGCGUAAAUGAAAUCUUCAGAAUCGUAAACGAAAACUUUAGAAGCGUAAAUGAAAACUCUGGAAGUGCAUUUCAUACGUCUACACUGGUAAACAACAGCCUCUAUUCAUCCAAAGAGAAAUCAGUGAAGUUACAUGGCUCAGGAAGUAAAGCGCUGGAGCAAUCAGCAAAGAGGUUACAGCUACUCCACAGAGCAUGAACAACGCUCAAGCCAAGUGAAGGGAAAGAAUGACAGAGAUGGAUAAAGGAGGUCAAAAACAAGAGAGAGACUUUUCCCCACACCUGGUCUCCCCAUUUGUCCCUCAGGAUACGGACAGAUAUCCAUUCAAGCAGAGAUAUAACAAAGAAGCAAUAAACAAAUACUGAAAAAUGGCACAUGCUAAAUCCAGUGUGUCUCGAGAGCUCAAGAGUUGAGGGCAUAUUAAGUGACAAGUUACUAAGAAAUUCAAACUAAAGUUUGCAGGGGUGAAGUUGGAGCAGUUUAUCUGGGAAUAAGAUGGAAGACUGGAAGUUUUGGAAGCCAAGGAGUAAACACAUGGUUUGACGGAUAGCAUGAACUUGCUACCACAGUGUUGAUUCUGUUCACAUGUUCGAUUCCAAUCAAAGUCUCUAUUUGUUCGGGCCUUUGUUAGCCGCUCUCUUAUGGCUUUGAGGGCUUUGUUUGGUGUUG